rnacentral:tRNA from 2 species
AUUUUUAUAGUUGAACUUACAACAGAAGACCUUCAAACUUCAAGUUUGGGUUAGACCCCAAUAAAAAUU